rnacentral:rRNA from 1 species
AAAAACAUCGCCUCUUGUUACAAUAUAAGAGGUCCAGCCUGCCCGGUGACUCAGUUUAACGGCCGCGGUAUCCUAACCGUGCGAAGGUAGCGUAAUCACUUGUUCUUUAAAUAAGGACUAGUAUGAACGGCAUCACGAAGAUUUUACUGUCUCCUUUUUCAAAUCAGUGAAAUUAAUCUUCCCGUGAAGAAGCGGGAAUAAAGAUAUAAGACGAGAAGACCCUAUGGAGCUUUAAACAUAAUAACACUUAUUACAUAUUAUUAGAAUUUAAGAAAAACAACACCAAGUAUGCUAGUAUGAUUAUAAGUUUUCGGUUGGGGCGACCACGGAGCAAAAAAUAUCCUCCAAGUAGAAUAGAACUUUACCUUGAGCAAAAAGCUUCAACUUUAUGCACCAAUAAAUUGACUUCUAUUGACCCAAUAUUUUGAUCAACGAACCAAGUUACCCUAGGGAUAACAGCGCAAUCCACUUUAAGAGCUCCUAUCGACAAGUGGGCUUACGACCUCGAUGUUGGAUCAGGGUAUCCCAGUGGUGCAGCCACUACUAAUGGUUUGUUUGUUCAACAAUUAAAACCCUACG